rnacentral:lncRNA from 1 species
CUCUCAGGAGGCAAUUCCUCACCCUUAACUAUAGGCAGCCUAAGGGAUUGACUUAGAAUAAAAUUAAAAUCUACCUCUCUUAAAGCUGUUGUCAGCUGUGCAUUGACUUCCAUGGUUUCGUCUGAACAGUCUUGGGCUUCGUCUGACAUUCUGCACUGUGUGGUUCUGCCCGGAGUUACUCUGAUUUCACUGGAAGAACAAUUGUCACUAAUUUUUGUGACUUGGGAGAUAUGACUGGAUUUGGAAAGCAGAGCCCUACGUUUCCUGCAAUCCACCUAAAGGGAAAAUUGAACUGCAUUGGAGGUGAGAGCAGGAGCUGGAGCAGCUCGGUGACUGUCUGUGGGCCAGCAGCCUCUCAAGCUGCAGCUCCUGUCUCAUGGACAGCAAGCCCCGAGGAGAGCCUCGAGAUGAAGCGCAGGCUGAGGCAACUCGUUCUGCCUGCUGUUCUGCUUUAGGACAUCAUCCUCCUCUCCUUCCCCUGUGCCUCACUCCCACCUUCACAGCCACUUGUUCUGCCUUGUCUCUGUUCCCUCCUUGUGCCAAGUGUCAAAUCAAUUGUCUGUGUGAUUAGUAAGAACAAUUGUCCAGGAUGGACUGACAACCUCUGAAAUGAUUAGAAGGAAGUCGGAAUAUCCCUGGAAGAGGGGAUCAGAAGAGAACUCUGGCGAUAAGGACAUUUUUUUUCAUUGUGAUGCUCUCAGAUGGCCAGUGACUGGGAAUUUCCGCCGUGACCAUCACCACAAGGCUUGCAGCAAGGCAGCCUGGGGUUUUGUUCAAGGCUCAUCUUCUUAUUGCCAGCAGAUAGUUAGCUUCUGCCUGCACAUUGCCAGGCCCAGGUACUAGAUGAGAAUGAAAAGGAGCCUGUCUUUGCUCAGACCGUCUUGGCUUUGUCCCGAGCCCACACUGCUAUAGGUGCUCAUAGGUUUUCUUCCUGUGCUCUGAUAGGGUAAUGAAAGUAUGGAAUAAAUAUGGACACGGUUCAUUUUCUGUAACUGUC